CCCGGGCAGCUCGGGUAUCGGCGGUACGCUCAAGACGAGACGGCCGGUUCGCGGCGGAAGUAGCUUCCAGCCGCAGAGCCUAUGGGUAAUGUAGUCCAGGCUAGAAAAGCAGCCAAUCCGGCCAGAAUGCGAGCGAACUGAUUCUUCUCAGCUCGGAGCCUGGUCCUGCCCCGUAACCGCCCGGCGGCGCCUGGAGAUGCCUGGAGGUUGUAGCUCGCCCACGGAAGGCAGAGGGCAUGAAACACUGACCUGACGUUCUUAUCUUUGUCCAUCGAAGAAAUCUUGGAAGUUAAUAAGCAGUUUUAGAGGCAACUGAAAGACUUACAAGUCAAAUUAUAUAUAUCUCCAAGAAAAUACAGAGGAAAAAGGCAGUGAAUGUGAGUAAAUUGGAAAGACAUACCCUCUGAGUUCACAUAUUGUUUCUUCAAGACAAGGCCUAUGUCAAUGUGACUGACUUGGAAAGAAUUGAAAACUUAAUUUUGACUUAACAUAUUAUGAAGGAAUCUAUGUAAGAAAGAAAUGCUAUGAAUAUAAUAAAUAUGUUAUAACUCAUCCUAUCAUGUAGUAACUCCCAUUAAGCGAAAUCUGUAUGAACAGGGAUUCAGAAGUAAAUCUCAUCAAAUACCUGAGAAUACACAGUGGAGAGAAACCCUGAGAACUCUGUCCAUGUGGGAUCCUUAUAUUCAUGUGCUUCUUCUUAUUAGUUGCUAGAGAAAUAAUGUAGCAGAGAAAACCUGUACAUGCAAGGAAUAUUGGAAAACCUUCAGCCAGUUAUUCAAACUAAUUGAAUAUGAGAAAAUUCAAACUGUGGAGAAACUCUAUGAAUGUAACAAAUUUGGAGAACUGUUCUGCCAGAAGAAGCAACUUCUGGCACAGAACUUUAGAAAAUUUAAACCUAUGAAUGUGAGAAAGCUUCCAUUCAGAUGUCAAACCUCAUAAGUCAUCGGAGAAUUCAUAUUGGAAGGAAAUCUUAUUCCUAUAAGAAAUGUGGGAAAGCCUUCAGCCACAAAUCAAAUAUCACUGACCAUGAGGAAAUUCAUACAGAAACCCUUUGAAUGUAAUGAAUGAGGGAAAGACUUCAGGCAGAACCAAUACCUCACUAAGCAUCACAUUGCUCUCUGGAGAGAAAUCCUACAAAUGUAAGGAAUGUGGAAAAUCCUUCAAUCAGAAAGAAAAUCUCAUUACCCAUCAGAAAAUUCAUACUAGAGAGAAACUAUUUGGAUGUAAUGACUGUGAGACAGCUUUUAUUCAGAAGUCAAGCCUCAUUAAACACCAGAAAAUGCAUACUGGAGAAAAAUUCUAUACAUGUAAAGAAUGUGGGAAAACCUUCAGCAGCAAAUCAAAUCUCACAAAGCAUGAACAAAUUCAUAUUGGAGAGAAACCCUUUAAAUGUAAUGACUGUGGAACAGCCUUUAGCCAGAAGCAAUACCUCAUUAAACAUCACAACAUUCAUACAGGAGAGAAACCCUUUGAAUGUAAUAAAUGUGGAAAAUCCUUCUCUCAAAUCACAUCACUUAUUGUACACGUGAGAAUUCAUACAGGUGAUAAGCCUUAUGAAUGUAAGGUAUGUGGGAAAGCCUUCUGUCAAAGCUCAUCUCUUACUGUGCAUAUGAGAAGCCACACAGGGGAGAAGCCCUAUGGAUGUACUCAGUGCGGGAAAGCUUUCUCUCAGUUCUCAACUCUUGGUUUACACGUGAGAACACACACAGGUGAGAAGCCUUAUCAGUGUAGCACAUGUGGGAAAGCAUUCAGUCAGAAAUCACACCACAUCAGGCAUCAGAAAAUUCAUACUCAUUAGAGAUAAUAUGAAUGCCUUAAAUAUAGUAAAACCUUCAGUAGGCUUUCUACACAUCAGAGAUUCAUUCUGGGGUAAAACAUUAUGAAUGCAGGAAAGCCUUUAGCAGCAGCUCAAAAUCUCUGAGACAGCAGAACAUUCUUAUGAGGAGAAACAUUAAUGAAAAGCCUGUAUCCAAAAAGAUUUUCAGUAAACAUCAUAGUUAAUGCUGAAUCUUUGGAAACAUUCCCAUUAAAGUCAGAGACGACCUGGAUGCCUGAUAUCACCACCACAAAUCAGUGUAAUCCUAGAGGCCAGAGCCAAUGCAGUAAGAUGAGGAAGAGGUAUAAGAUUGAAAAGGAAUAAAUAUUUUCAGAUGGUAUAAUUUUUUGAUACAGAGGUAUGAUUAUUAAAACGUUGUGACAGUAUGCACUAAUAGAUAUUAGAUUAAUGGAAUGGAAUAUGAAGCCUAGAUACAUUCCAGUUCUGUGAAGAAAUGAUUACUUAAAUAAUAUUUUGGGUAAUAAUUGGCUUUCUCUGUAGAUAAAGAGAGAGAGAGAUUCCUGCCUUAUAUCUUACAUUAAAAAAGAAAGAUCCAAUGUGAAAAAAAAUCUAAACCUUUAGGAAAAUGACUUAAUAAACUUGAAUAGAGAAACUUUCCUAAAGUUACACCCUCAAAUGCACCAAAAUUUCUUUUUUUGGUAUUAUGCCUUAGAGAAACUCUGAAACAUAUACACAGGGAGAUGUGUGCCAUCACGUUCUUUGCAGUGUGAUUUCUGGUAACCAGAAACCAUUAGCAUGAUUUCUAGCAGCCACAUAUUGGGGGUGGGGAAAACUGGAAAUGCCUAUCAUUAGGGAAAUGGUUGAAUAAAAUGUGUUAUAUUUAUAUGAUGGAAUAAUGUACAGCAAUUGACUGCAACAAACUAUAAGUAUUAACAGGGAAAGAUCUCAAAACCAUGAUGUUGAGUGAAAAAUCAAAGGGCAGAUGAUGCAUGUAAUAUAAUGAUAUCUUAAUUGGAAUAAAAACAUUAAUAUUGGAUAUUGGUUAUGGGUAUAGGGUAUGUAUGUAAAGGCAUAAAAAGAAUUGGAAGUUUGUACACUAAAUUCAUGAUGGUGAUUGCCCUUAGGGACAAAGAAGGAAGGAGAAGAAUGGGAUCAAGAUGAUAGUUAAAGAUUUUGGCUUCACAACUAAAGUAUCCAUAUUUAUGGAUAUAUCUAAAUAUCCAUAACGGUAAUAUGUAGAAUUUAGGGUUGGAAAAUCUUAAAAAUAGUUUCCUCUUUUCUUUCUACAUCAAAGAUCUGUAUUUGCUAAACUGUUUCUUGCAAGGAGAUGUGCUGGUCCUACAAGUGCUGAUGUGCUGGUCAAGAAUCUUGUGCUAUUUUGUAGCUUUGAAUGAUAUGCUUGAAAGAAUACAUAAGUAUAAUGCCAUUAGAGAGACGCAAAAAUACAUAGGAAGCUUACUAGGAAGACAGUUAUUUUAGGAAGGAAAAGUUAGCUACCUUGCAGCAAGAUGGGAAAUGCUGCCGAUGCACAUAAGAAUGGUAGCAAAGGUCUUAGAUGUCCAAAAGCUGAGUAUUCCAUGUACCGGGUGCUUCUUUAAAAAUAGCAGGAAGAGGUGAAAUGAACUAGUGAAGUGUCUAUACCAGUUAAUGGUAUUUAUUAUUAUUCUUAUUUUAUGGUGGUGAUUAAUGCCAAUUAAAGCAGUAACUGAAUAGAACAUGAUAAAUAAAUAGUAGAAAAGUGUGGCCUGUAAGUAAAGAUGGAAGGUAAGAUAUUUAGGAAGCUAAAUCUGUUGGGGAAAAAGGCUGACCUCUCUAUCUUCAGCAGGUGAUCUCCCAGUCAGCAGCCCUGGGGAUAUUUAUUGUUUGAGGAGGAACUUGCCUGUGUUGCAAUUCUCCACUUUUAGUCCUGCUGGGUAGCCAGAGAGGUGUGCCUUCCUCGAAGAUACACCAAGAGGGGAUUUCUCCUUUGUUAUAAAGUCCACAGGAUUCUGUACUUGUUUGGUUUUAUUUGCUAGAGUCUAUCAUAAGGCCCUGGAGGGAAGGACUGAAUGUUGUCCACCUCUGUGUGAUUUACAGCACCUCAAUGCAUAGAUAUGAAUGAAUGAAUGAAUGAAUGAAUACUGCAGAGAAAUUGAGAAGCUUUCUGAUUCUGAGGUCUCAGUUUGGGCUUGCUUUUUGGAGUGGAUAGAUGAAUACGUAUUUUAAAGGCACUCAAACAAAUACAUGUUCAGUGAUUAAAAGUAAGAGUAACUCCUUAUACUAGAAUUUUCCCACCGGCAGAAGCCAGUGCCCCCAGUGCUCAUUCCCCUUUUCCUCGGUCAUCUCAUCAAGAAGUUACUACACUAUGUCUCUCACGUGGGUGAUGAAUGUUAGAAGCAUUUUAGCAGACUGUGGCUGGGCCCAGAAUGGGGUCAAGUAAAAGUAAACAGCAUCCUUAUUAGACGAUGCUGGCCUCCACUGGUGCUUUUUUCCAGAUACCCACACAGCUUCCUGGUCUUGCUAGAAAGCAGACCUCCUGGGAUACGCAUGCACGCGACGGUUCUGACCUCCAGGAACUUCUUUAGUUGGGCACCACCUCCUUCCUCGCUCCUUACCCUGGAUGGUUUCAGGAGGAUCUUACCUCCGUGCACAGACGCUCACCGCCUGCCUUGUAUGGCCACAGGAGAAACUGAGCCCAGCACUGGGGAGACGCGAUGAGGGCCGCAGAGGGCUCUCUUCAGGAAACCCAGCAAGCCUGCAGCCACACAUUGUCUAACUAGUCACAUGUCAAAGGGGAGCAGAAGGACAUAUGGAUGGACUAAUGUUCUCACACGACCUGUGACUGCCAGAAUUCUGAUUCUCCAGUGCUGGUCUUACACAGCAGUGGAUGUGGUGGUGGAAGUUGGGGUGGGAGAAGAUCCAUUCCAUAUAUUUGUUUACUGACCCCAAAUAUUUUAAACUGUAAUUUUUAUUUAAUGCUCAGAAACUAA